rnacentral:rRNA from 1 species
GAAACCCAGUGUGUUUCGACACACUAUCAUGUCAUGAAUACAUAGUGGCAUGAGGCGAACCGGGGGAACUGAAACAUCUAAGUACCCCGAGGAAAAGAAAUCAACCGAGAUUCCCCCAGUAGCGGCGAGCGAACGGGGAGGAGCCCAGAACCUGAAUCGGCUUGUGUGUUAGUGGAAGCGUCUGGAAAGUCGCGCAGCAAAGGGUGAUAGCCCCGUACACUAAAAUGCACAGGUCGUGAGUUCGAUGAGUAGGGCGGGACACGUGACAUCCUGUCUGAAUAUGGGGGGACCAUCCUCCAAGGCUAAAUACUCCUGACUGACCGAUAGUGAACCAGUACCGUGAGGGAAAGGCGAAAAGAACCCCGGCGAGGGGAGUGAAAUAGAACCUGAAACCGUGUACGUACAAGCAGUGGGAGCACCUUCGUGGUGUGACUGCGUACCUUUUGUAUAAUGGGUCAGCGACUUAUAUUUUGUAGCAAGGUUAACCGUAUAGGGGAGCCGUAGGGAAACCGAGUCUUAACUGGGCGAAUAGUUGCAAGGUAUAGACCCGAAACCCGGUGAUCUAGCCAUGGGCAGGUUGAAGGUUGGGUAACACUAACUGGAGGACCGAACCGACUAAUGUUGAAAAAUUAGCGGAUGACUUGUGGCUGGGGGUGAAAGGCCAAUCAAACCGGGAGAUAGCUGGUUCUCCCCGAAAGCUAUUUAGGUAGCGCCUCGUGAACUCAUCUUCGGGGGUAGAGCACUGUUUCGGCUAGGGGGCCAUCCCGGCUUACCAAACCGAUGCAAACUCCGAAUACCGAAGAAUGUUAUCACGGGAGACACACGGCGGGUGCUAACGUCCGUCGUGAAGAGGGAAACAACCCAGACCGCCAGCUAAGGUCCCAAAGUCAUGGUUAAGUGGGAAACGAUGUGGGAAGGCACAGACAGCCAGGAUGUUGGCUUAGAAGCAGCCAUCAUUUAAAGAAAGCGUAAUAGCUCACUGGUCGAGUCGGCCUGCGCGGAAGAUGUAACGGGGCUAAACCAUGCACCGA